AUCUUCUCCUCCUGCUCGCCCUCGUCCUUGAAGGCCAACAUCUCGUCCGUGGCCCCCAGGUCGUCCCCGCCGCCGCUGCCCAGCUGCGGCAUUUUCCUCCCGCCGCUCCCUCACGGGCCGCGCAGUAACUUUCCCGAUGAUCCUCUUGUUUUGCAUGUGAAAAAAAUCGUCUGAGAUUUACAGCCCUCCCAAAUGGAGAUAAAGCCUUGGCAAUGAGUUGGAAACCUGUUGUAAUCUGUGAUCCAGGAAACAAAGAGCCUCAUUAAUGCAGAGACUUUGGUGAGCCUUUGAUGUUAGCUAGCAUAGCAUUCACUCUCAGUUCCAUUUGCAUUUAAACAUUCAUAAAAACAUCAUCUCUGCUUCCUUUGCCUUAAGCAAUUUAGGAGUAAAGUAUAGCUUCUAUUUAAAGAAACCCACUGUGGUGAGGCUUAGAAUACAAAUAUCACAUAAUCUUCAAGCAGAGCAAAUAUUUUAUCUUACAUUUCUGGUGGGCACAUUUAAUAAUACUAGAUUUAAGACCCAAAAUAAAAGAUCCAUCUUAUUUUCAUUAACCUUACACCACAUAUUCGAGUGAAAAGGGAAAAAGGGGCCCUGUUAAUUCUAAAUAUACUACAUGCCAAUUUGUGCAAGUAAGAGAAUCCAGAGGAUUUUACAUUAUUCACAAGAGCUGAGUUGUGGCAAUGUGGAUGCCUGUAGCAAGGUGCCUAAAUCUGUCUUGAGGCACACAACAGUGGGAAUCUUGAACAAGGUUCAGGGUUUAUAUAUACGUGUGUAUAUAUCUGUAUAUAUAUAUAGUUUUCUGAACUGCAGAAUCUUCAUCCUGGCUUUAGAAUGGAGUAAAAAUAGAUUUCUAAAGUAUUUUUAACAAAUAAGUAUAAAAGUAAAAUACUAAAAAACCUGGAGUAAGCCUAAUGUGGAGGUUUUCUAACAAGAGAAGACACUGUUACAGACACAUACUGAGGGAAUGGCAGCAUGGGGAGAAUUGGGGGCAUCACUCAGAAAACAAAGGCCUGUUUAUCUUACUACAUUCAGAAGUGUUAUUCACCGGCCCACCUAUGAGCAGUGACACAGUGCUGAAGCUACUGGAAUCAGCUUGACUUGAUGUAUGGAAGUACGCCACUUGGGUUGUCCACAUUCACUGUAUCAUUAAAACAAGAGAGGGAGCAGAAACUGAACCCCUGUUGCAUCGGGAGCUCUUUAUGUUCUCCCUCUUAGGAGCAAAAGAGAAGGAAAUCUUGCUGCGUGGUGUGGCGAGUCGGUGCAGCCAGGCUGAUGUUUUAAGCAUUAUAAGCAAGUUUCCUAUAUGAUGAAUAUCCAAAAUUAAAAACUGAAAUGGAAAACACUUAAAACCAACUUUACCUUGGAUAAAAUAUUUCUGGAGCUGGAUCAAAGUAAAAGCAAGAGCCUGGCUUACUUGUCAGAUCAUAUCUGCACUGAACUUCAAGGUUUGAUUUGUAUUAUUUACAUGGAAAAGGUCCCAAGAAACCAAUUUGGCACCGAGUAUCUUCAUUACGUUUUUUCGCUUGUAUGGGUGAUUAAAUCAAUCCCGGGUUCCUGGUUUAAUUUUUUUGGAGAGGUGCAGCCAUGUGUGAAUUGAGGCACUUUUCUGAUGUCAUCUUUGUGCUUCAGACAUACUUUUUUCCCCCUCCUUUUUUUUUUGGAAAGGAGACUUUCAAAGCAGCCUGUUUGUUCCACUGUUGGAGUUUCUAACUGGCCUUCCAGUAACUGCUCAGAAUUAAAGGUGUGCAAUGGCUUUUUAGAACAUUUUAACCGUAGCACCUGCAGAUAACAGUAAACCAGAUUAAAUUAUAACCAAGUCUGCCUGUCAAUCCUUCUGUUCCUCAUCCUGCAUUUAUCAGCCUGUUCUCUGAGGGCUGUGUGUGAAACUCAGCACAUGCAUUUCUGUACCGCUCCGCGCACAGCGGUGUUAUGUGGCUUCAUGGUACACGUAUUGAGUGAAGCCUCUCCUUUAAAGUCAAUGUAAAUGUUGCCACUGAUUUCUAGGUUAAAGUUUCCUCUUCUGUUCUUUAAAAGGCGCUUCAGAGUGAGCACUUGGAUUUAGUUAAUUCAUGUUUUUUCUUCCUCAUUUUUUUAUUAAUUUAAUAGAAUCUCUUUGGAAUAGCUCCCAUUUUACUCUCUUUGGACACAUUUUAUCUUCUCAUACAAGUUCAUUUAACGUAAGGGACACAUCUGCCCCUGGAAGGUUGAACAUCCUACAUCUGCCUUCCUAUUUCACUGUGUUUGCAGCAAAUAUGUUUCCUUGAUGUGCAUGCACAAACCAAAGUAUGCUUUAGUUUAAAACCAGAGUUAUUUUUGUAGCCAAUUAAUCAAUUCUCUACUAACAGAGGCACCUUCUAAAUAUUUACCCUUCUUUUGGAGAAGAACAUUUGCAGAUCAUCCCAGAGGAUGGUUUGAUUGAUAGAUAGGCAGUACAAAUGUUUCAGAUGAGAUGGAAGAAAACUCCUGUGUGGGGUUCCAGCUGGGAGCAGGAGCUCCUGAAGGAUAGGCUGGUACCAGCUGAACUAAACCUGGCAAGUGACCAGAGUAAAUCAGGCCACUGAAAGCUCUGUUUUGCCCAAAGGGGUUUACACUGGUGUAAUUACCUCAGCAUAGUCAUAGAAGGAACAUUUCCUUAGUCUAGACAAGCUCUAAUAGGUAAAAUAGAUCUAUCGUUUGCAACUGAAACAUCUCGACCCAGCUAAGGCAAGGGCAAAACCUUGCAUUCUUCUUCCCACUCUGACUUUCCUUCCCUCACCUGGGCCUGGGCACAAGCCGGAUUUUGUGUUGGUUUGGAGCAUCCUCCAACUUUGUUGGUCUGUGACAGCAAAAAGGCUCCAGCAGCUGCUCAGCCGUUUCCCUACUUGAUUCACUCUGCCCGUCUUAAUCUCACAUGAUUUUCAGUGUUUCUUUGACUCUCUGCAUUGAUUUAAACGUACUUAAAGGAUUCACUAGCAGCUGCCAAAAGAUAGCUUUUAGAAUAUGAACAGAAAAUCGACUCCCUGACAUUGCAAUAUUUAGCUUGUUUUCUACUGUCUACAUGCUUUUCUGGAAAUGUUUCCAGCUGUUGGGACUUUUUUCCCCUUGGGAGGCAAGUAGUGAAGGCACAGCAGCCUGCUGAUGGGAGCCAGCAUCCUGCUUUCUCCAGGAAAAGAGGAUAAUCUCUCUCCAAAGACUUCAUCAGAUGUCAAAAGCCAUAGUGUGAAAUCCAUUUUGGAGAUGUGAUCUUUGGAUAACUCCCUGCACAUACAGCACAACAUAGCACAAGCUGUUGUCAAAUACCCCAGUGCAGAUUUUAGGUCUUGCUUUGUCUAGAAGAUCCCCUCUGUUUCCGUUUUGCCAGGCUGUAAGACUGUCUCUGCAGGCAAUUUCCACUUAACAUGUCUUUUCUUUGUUCCUGAUGCAAACAACACUUCAGAUUAUUAAAGGACUUUAAAAGACUCAUCUAUUUUUCACUCGAUGUGUUUCAUUCACCUCUUGCUAUUGGAUCUGGACCAAGCAACUGGCAUUGUGUUUAAUAUUUCUUACUCCUUUCCCUGUCAGGUUCUCAGGCGCUUGCCCAGUGCUGAAAGAUCUGAGUUUCCAACAGGAAGGAGCAUGUUUAUUUGUUUACAAAAACACUUUUCCAGGGCUGCAUCCUGUGGUCAUACAACCAUCCAAGUAGUCCCUGCUCCGAUGAGUCAUGCCUCUAAAUUAAAAGGACCCAUGAAGAUGGAUUUGCAGAAUCACUCAUUGCUUCCAUAACUGUUUUUCCAUCAAUCAUAGGAAAAGUACGUUGAUUUUUGUGUCCAUAAAAGCUUAUUUUUACCAAACCAAACGACUAGGUUCCUUUUUUCUCUGGCAGUGUCCUCUGCAUUUUAACCAGAUCCUUACAAGCCAACAGAAGCAGCCCCUUGCAGUGCAUUUGGUACAAUUCACAUGGAGUACACUUUGUCCUGGGAUUCCUGUUUGUACACUGCAUGGAACAAAGUACAGGAGAAAUCCAAAUAUUGUUCUUUUAGCCCAGGCUCUGCUCAGACAUGUUAUCCAGGCCACGCUGAGCCUGGUUAAGAGGUUAUUAUCCAGACCCAGCUUCCAACUGCAUCUUCCCUUCUUGCACAUCUCCCACCAAAGCUGACUGUACUCCAUCAGAUGGGGCAGUGUAAUUUCACACAUAGACAGUCCCCAGCCUACUUCUGUCCAAAUGAGCGCCUGUCUAAAAGACAGUUAAAAAGGGCACUAAAAGAAUUAUUUCAUGAAACCUGAGUUAGACAGAACUGAAUGAGGAUCACUGCUGGAAACAGGGCUGGAUGGCAGCAGUGCACUGCUGAACUGACAGUAGACAUUGAAACUGGGUGUAGUUGUGACUGGGGACAUCUGACUGGAGAAGUGCUCUCUGGAUGCUCAAGAGGGCAAUGAAAGGAAAGAGACCCACACAAGAGGCUGCUUCAUCGAGAGAUGUUACUUCUUUCCCAUCCUAACUGAUGGCUUUCUGGAGACACACUGACAACAAGCCAGGGUGAGCCUGUCAGCAUCGUACUUCUCUGUGCUUCAGACUGGAAAUAAAAGGAAAGUGAGGAAAGAAGCCGUUCCAUCCCAAAUUACGGGCUCUUUGGGUGCCAGCCUGCAAUCCUGCUCAGCCAGGAGACUCUGUCCUCUAGCAGGACUGGGACUCUAUAUUACACCCUGUUGGAAGCCUGACCUCAGUGCUCUCAUUGGAAACCUCACAGGGUGCUACAGUGCUCCUGACUGAGCAAAAGUGCUUGGAUAAAGAUGCUCCAGUCAAUGGUCACUGGUUGCUGUGAAGGCCAUUAAAUCAUACCUCUGAUGGAUGCACUUUCAGUGCCUAUAGAAUAAGGGUCCCUAAAGAGCAGAUAAACAUGUGUCCAAAGCACCAGCUAGCAACAGAAGCAGCUCCAAUAUCUGAUUUCAUGCCCUGUAGCUGGCCUUCAACAUCCUUUCAUUCUUUCAAAUACCUGAAGUUACUUUCCAGGGUCUUAAAUUUGUUCCUGUUGAAGGGAUCUGCCCUGGUAAAUGUCUGGUUUUGUGGGUUUGGGUUCUUUUUUUGCUCUGGAAUAUGUCAAGAUGUUGGCAAAGGUGUGGGGUUGCUUUUGUAAGCUCUCUAUAUAGAGUUCUGAAAAAAACCCUACUUUAUUUAACUAGAAAAUGCAAUAGAAAUUAAAUACUUGAACAGGGAUGUUAAUACCUA